rnacentral:rRNA from 1 species
CCUACGGGUGGCAGCAGUGAGGAAUAUUGGUCAAUGGACGAGAGUCUGAACCAGCCAAGUAGCGUGAAGGAUGACUGCCCUAUGGGUUGUAAACUUCUUUUAUAUGGGAAUAAAACAGGGUAUGCAUAUCCUCUUGUAUGUAUCUUAUGAAUAAGGAUAGUCGAACUACGUGCCAGCAGCCGCGGUAAUACGGAGGAUCCGAGCGUUAUCCGGAUUGAUUGGGUUUAACGGGAGCGUAGGUGGAUUGUUAAGUCAGUUGUGAAAGUUUGCGGCUCAACCGUAAAAUUGCAGGUGAAACUGGCAGUCAUGAGUACAGUAGGGGUGGGCGGAAUUCGUGGUGUGGCGGUGA